GUGCGAGCGAGGAGGAGGAGGAGGACUGGGUAUGAGUCUACAUCAGUAGUGCAUUUUAUCGUAUAUCAUACCUGUGAGGACUUCUGUAAACAGACGGCCUAAGAGAGGUUUUACACUACUAUUGUCUUCACAAAUUGAGAGGAGCUGAUCAGCAUCAAAGAAGGUCCUGCAUGUAAUUGAAGUUAGUAAUGAGACCAGUGAGUGAUGCAUGCAUCCAUACUGCGACAGCAUCAUUGUAAUGAGUAGCAAACAUCAGGAGGUUUUUCCACUUUUCUGGCUUGCUUGGAAUACAACUAACAAAAGUUUGACUAAACGCUAUCAGACAAGGAGUAAUCAUGUCUGUGGCAUUCGAUGUACAGUGCUCUGAACUGCAUGUACCGUACCGUGGCAAGAAUCUUACAUUCAGAGAUUUUGUUGAUAAAACUGCUACUAUUUCUCUGUUG